UACGGGGGGAGCAAGCGUUGUUCGGAUUUACUGGGCGUAAAGGGCGCGUAGGCGGUCAGCACAAGUCAGUUGUGAAAUCUCCGGGCUUAACUCGGAAAGGUCAACUGAUACUGUGCGACUAGAGUGCGGAAGGGGCAACUGGAAUUCUCGGUGUAGCGGUGAAAUGCGUAGAUAUCGAGAGGAACACCUGCGGCGAAGGCGGGUUGCUGGGCCGACACUGACGCUGAUGCGCGAAAGCCAGGGGAGCGAACGAG
rnacentral:rRNA from 1 species